rnacentral:lncRNA from 1 species
AUGAACCCAUCUACUCUCUGUAUUUCUCUCAUAAGCAAUGAUCAAAUUUACUACAAACUUCCCCCUCAAUGGACAGAUAAAUGUCCAUUAAAGCGAAAGCCAAUUAACCUGUUGUGUCUAUUCAGCUGGCUACUAAAUGACCAUUGGACAACUAGUUUGAACAGAAACUCCUUACCCUCUUGUUAUUUUAUCCUUAGCGUGGUAACCGCAAUGAUGCUAAGUGAAACUAUGCAAUUUAAACCACCUGCUUUAUUUCACGCCCAAAUUAGUUUAGAGGACUGCCUUUUCAGGUGAAUCCGGUCCCCCACCUUAAAACAACACAAAAAACAUUUGUCAUGUGGUACAAACUUCUGCUAUAUAGUGUCAGAUUAAUUCAGAUACAUUGUGGCAAACAAUACUACACACCAGAGCAUACAUGUGUCAUUUUUCUGGUUACAAGAACGUGAAUGCAGUACAUGAACAAUGUGAGUACAUGAAGGAUGUAGAUAAUCUGUGUCACUUUAAGUAACAGAAGUGUGCCUUUAAAUGUGUGUAGCAUAUAUGGGCAUAGAUAGAUGUGGUGCAUAUCAGGCCGUCUCCAGUCUUUCUCUCUGGCCUUACGCUGAUGGGGUGGCACCGUCCUCAUUCGCCUCCUCCUCCUCCCCCUUCUCGGGCCCGAUAUGGAUCCAGUCAGGAACUGGAAAGAGGUCACCUCCCUCGCUACCUAUACUACUUUGACUGCUUUUCACUCUCUGCUUAAUAACUGCCAUCUGCAUCGUCUGCCUGGUUACUCCUCUAAGCGCUAGUGACCCCAGACAAGGAAUGCAACAACAAAAGAUGAGUCCUAGCACAACUACUCCUACAGUAAUCAUUAUCCCCACUUUAAUCAGCCCCUGUUUCCAGCCCCCAGCCAUACUUUAUACGCUCCCUCUACGUCUGCCUACGCUACUCUUAGCCCCUACUGACCCGUUUGCGUCUCUCCUAAGUCUUAAAGGAGUCAUAUCAUACUUUUCAUUCUAAAAAAUAUUAGACUUUAUUGUCUCAGUAAGGUCUCUGUAAAUUUUCAUCCCAUAAAACCCUUUAGAUCGUCCACACUGCCCCUGUCAAUAUGUGGUUCUCACUCCCCAUCAGCAAACGCUGUGUUUUCUGGGCGUGUCACAAGCGAAGCUGCUCACCACACCUCUGUGCGGAAGCGCAUACCUUUUUUGUUGUUGUUUUUUUUUUUAAAUUGGCUCCAUGGAUACGAGCCACCGCACGGUUACGAUACAAUAGGUGGCACUAGUGCGACAUUGAGAAUGCAAUCCACCGCAAUCCUCCACAGAAGAAGACCCACUACAGGACUGCACGACAUUAGUCAGCUGAUUCGUAGCGUUGUAGAACCAUACGUCUACGAUCCCGAAUCUGACCCUGAAGCUGAAGAGGAGGCUGUUGAAGUCGCCACAUUUCGGCUGAUGCAAGAUGUGUCUCAUUGGUAAUGUCGCAUUUACUUUAAUUUAAUUGAUUUAUGUAAUUUGCAAAGUGACUAGCGGUUGCUAAUGCUUAUGCUAAAUGGCGUGUGCAGCUUGAAUAUUCACAACACGACUUACCUGGAAAACUCUCGUUAAUAGAUAACACUACUUUAGCUUACAUUAUUCAAAUAAAUUUGAGAGCAUAGCUGAAAUAAUAUAAAUA